rnacentral:rRNA from 1 species
UACAGAGGGUGCAAGCGUUGUUCGGAAUUACUGGGCGUAAAGCGCGUGUAGGCGGUUUGGUAAGUCCUGUGUGAAAGCCCUGGGCUCAACCCAGGAAGUGCGCAGGAUACUGCCUGACUGGAGUGACGGAGAGGAUGGCGGAAUUCCCGGUGUAGAGGUGAAAUUCGUAGAUAUCGGGAGGAACACCUGUGGCGAAGGCGGCCAUCUGGACGUCAACUGACGCUGAGACGCGAAAGCAUGGGGAGCAAACAGG